rnacentral:rRNA from 1 species
GAUCAUUGCACACACAAAGCUGUAGCAAACCUUGCGAGCGAACGUCGUGAUUGUCCCCUUGGCCGGUUUCGGGGGGUGGAGCGGGCGCUGCUCGCUGCGUCGCGGAGCCGGCCGACCCCCCAGGGAGUUUCCCUCCGUCGGGGGCACAAACUGCUCCCUGGGGGCAAAACCCAACCCCGAUUGCGCAAUGCAUCAACAAUUUGGAUAACGACUGAGCAUGAAAAAGCGAGGGGUGUAUGGGCGCUCCGGGUGACUGGAGCGCUCAUCACGAGUUGUAAUAUGGAAAAACACAAAACAACUCUCAGCAACGGAUAUCUGGCUCUUGCAACGAUGAAGAACGCAGCGAAAUGCGAUACGUAGUGUGAAUUGCAGAAUUCCGCGAAUCAUCGAGUCUUUGAACGCAAGUUGCGCCCGAGGCUUGACCAAGGGCAUCCCUGCCAGAGCGUCACCGCGACACCCCACCGAUCCGCUCCCAGCUAGCUCUGGGAGUGCGACCGAGUGAAGCUGGGCCAUCCGAAUGGGGGGCACACCACCCCCCCGGGACUUCGUGUGCCUUGGGGUGGGGUGGCAGAUUGGGUUGGCUGAAAUGGAGGCAAUUUGGCCGCCGUGGUGACACAGCCCGCGAUCAGGUGAUCCGGGUCUCAUCUUGGAACUACUUCUAGGUGUGGUGCUGUGUCUCCCAGUUGGUACGAUGAGGAUUCCAAAGCAGGUCCCGGACUCCCCCCCUGCGCCCCCGCACUCCCUGCCUUGCGCUCUGAGGGAGGGAGGAGAGGAGGGGAGUGUCCCGAGGUGUAACGUCACGCAUCAGACCUCUGAUCAGGGAAG